GACGUGUUGAUCUUUUCGUAUGUGGAGCCGGCUCGUGUAUUUGUUCAAAUCUUCGGCACAAAUCGUUGUGCAAAAAGAAUUCGAAACACACCAGGAUAUCCCUCUGAAAUUCAGAAAAGAUUGUCUCGCAAGAACCCAACCAACAAUGCCCUUUGAAAAUGAAGCAUUAUGUAAUUUAAUCAGCCUUUUAUUAGUAGUAACUAAUCAGCUUUUGUAAUAUCUUAUCUAAUCAGCUUUUGUAAGAUAGACUGCCUUCAAAUUUGUAACCAGACUUUCCAUGAAGCUUUUGUGUGAUGGACUCUUUAAAGAACAGCUUUUGAUUUAAA